UCACCGCGUACAUGGCGGUGCCGGACAGCAUGGCGAUAAAAGUCAACCCAAGCCACUCAAAAGAAGUCUCUUCUGUUCGGGAAUUGAAGAGCGAGUUUCUGACAGAUUGACCGGACCGCCUUGGACCCAGCAGGAUAGUGCCACGCCAGAUGGGUCUGCCUGCAGCAGUGUUCAUGUGAUUCCAUUCCACGUCCAGCCUGUGCAGUCCUGACGGUGAUUGCCGGGCCAUCCUUCGAGUUUCGUGUUCCUGUGAAAGGGGUGCCGGCCGGGGCUGCUCCUCUACAUGUGUCUGUUUUUGAUGAGGGUCAAUGGGACCCGUCCUUCAUGAUCCCUGUUUCAUUCCUGCUGAGGGUCACCAGGGCCGUUCCUCUUCAUGUCUGUUGCUGAGGAUGGUCACCGGGACCGCUCCUUCAGAUUCCCUCUUUCGUUCCCACUCUGAGUCACUGGGGUUACUCCUCUUCAUGUCCGUUCCUGAGGAGGGUUGCCAGGUCCACACUUAAAGGAUGUCCUCUUUCCGUGGGGGGAUGGUUGACCUUCAUCACCCUUGCCGAUGUUUCUUGUUCUGAAGAAGGGACGCUCGGGCUGCUCCCCUUUAUGUGUCCUGUCCCUUGGGAUAGUUGUCAGGUCUGCUCCUCUUCAUGUCUGUUCUUGAGGAGGGGUAUGCCAUGUCACCUCUUGGACUUGUUUUUGUUUUGUUCCACCAGGUCCCCUCUUCUCGGGUGCAUCUGAAAUCUGCCCUUUUGCGGAGGGGUACCAUGAGGAUUACCUGCUUGGGUUUUUGUGGUGUUUUUUGUCACAUUCUGGUUUUCUUGUUGGUUCACCAGGUUCUGGUUGAUGAUCCAAAGCGCUCUAUUUAGUUAAUCACCUUCAGUCUAUUAAAGUGUCUGGUUUUCAGUUCCUUAAUGUUAGGCCAUCUGCUCUGUUCUUUACUGCUGUUUUGACGCCUUUUUUGUUGCCCCCACGGUUUUGUCAUGUUUCAGAUUUUUUGUUAAAUGUUUUAGUUUCUGUCACUAAGCCUGGUACAUGACAGUGAUGACACCAAAAGUGACGUCCCUUUAUAUUGCUCUGACAGUUUUUAUGUUUUGCUCUUCUUUUGCAUUUUAUAUGUUUGAAAACCAACAUUUGACCAAACCUAUAUUAAAAAAACAACAACAUAUUUGCGCAUUUCUUUACAAGUAAAAAAUCAACAUUACCAAAAUAAAUAGAAAGCAAAACAAUAUUUUAUUGUGAAAAGCUUUUAUUUCACAAUAAAAUGCCACGGGUCGCAUACCAGCAGAAAAAUAAAUGUGGCUUCCUCUUUCUUUGACCAUUUAAUGUAAAAGUUAUAAUUUGAGUUAAUUAUUUUUCUUUAUGAUGCUCAUGUUUUCAUGAUUAUUUUGCCACCCUUUAAUCCAACUCAGUUCUUUUAAGUUUGAGUUUUUUACCCAUUUCUACUUUUUAUCAUUCUAUUUCCUCCCUCAGCUCAUAUUCCACCUGAUUUACUUCAUGAAAUUCCCAAACCCCUUGUUGUUUUGGCCGGUUUAUAUCAGGACUAGUGCGAUCUGACAUUUUAAGUGUCUUUAUUUCCAAGAAGUUCAGUGUUGUGUAGGAAAGCAACAUAGAAUAGAAUAGAUCUUUAUUUUUCAUGGUCACAGGUACAAUGACAUUAAAAGGGCUUCCUGGUCUGUGCAACACCAAUAGGUUAAACAGCCCAUGGUAAAAACUUUGACUAAAAUGAAUAAAUAACACAAAAAAA